rnacentral:rRNA from 1 species
GACGAACGCUGGCGGCGUGCCUAACACAUGCAAGUCGAGCGAUGAAGUUCUUCGGAACGGAUUAGCGGCGGACGGGUGAGUAACGCGUGAGCAAUCUGCCUUACACAAAGGGAUAGCCUCGGGAAACUGGGAUUAAUACCAUAUGACACUUGGUAAUCGCAUGAGGACCAAGUCAAAGAUUUUAUCGGUGUAAGAUGAGCUCGCGUCUGAUUAGCUAGUUGGUGGGGUAAAGGCCUACCAAGGCGACGAUCAGUAGCUGGUCUGAGAGGACGACCAGCCACACUGGGACUGAGACACGGCCCAGACUCCUACGGGAGGCAGCAGUGGGGAAUUUUGGACAAUGGGCGAAAGCCUGAUCCAGCCAUGCCGCGUGCAGGAAGAAGGCCUCGGUUGUAACUAGCUUAGUCUAGAAAAGGGUAGGCGAGGUAAUACCUCGUGCUUGUAUGGUACUGGAAGAAUAAGACACCGGCGUAACUACGUGCCAGCAGCCGCGGU